CGUCUUCCCCCAAAACCUAACUCUCUCUUUCCCGCUCCUCUCCCGUUUUCUGGUUCUAGGGUUUGAUGCCCUAAUUUUAUUCCCAUGGCUCUGUUCGUAUUCUUCCACAGCUUUCUUGAACUGCAUCUUCUUGAGCCCGAUUCGCUCUUCUCUCUCUUAAAAUCGCGCUUUUGUUCAUCAUUUUCUUUUGCGGUUCAAUAAAGCUGUGGGAAGAUACACACAGGGCCAACCAAAUUCCGCCUCCGCAAUCAAUCCUCCACCGCCAUCGGCAAAAACAGAUUUGUGUGAGGUUUGUUUGAAGCAAUGGUUUCGGAUGAUGAAUAUGAUUAUUAUUAUAUAUAAUUGAAGCGGCUUUCAGAGCCUAUGGAUCUGUACUUUUACUGUGCCCGUGGAUCAACUAACAGUUUUAUCUGUCUUCACUGCAGCCAUAGAUUUCAUUCCAUCGUUUUUUUUUUCUAAGAGUUGGUGGCUUGAAUUAUUAGAGAAGGAUUAAUCUGAGUAGCAGAGUAAAUGUCAUGUAUGAAAUUAUUCUCUUGUAUUCAAUGCUAUGUUUAAGAGUAUUUUGACUGCAUAACUGAAGGGCCUUUAAUUGGCUUGUUUUUGCCUCAAACUUUCCAUCAAUUCAGGCCACAUCCAAUACAAACCCUUUUGUUCUUCUCA